CCUACGGGGUGCAGCAGUGGGGAAUAUUGGACAAUGGGCGAAAGCCUGAUCCAGCCAUGCCGCGUGUGUGAAGAAGGCCUUCGGGUUGUAAAGCACUUUCAGUGGGGAAGAAAGCCUUGGGGCUAAUACCCUCGAGGAAGGACAUCACCCACAGAAGAAGCACCGGCUAACUCCGUGCCAGCAGCCGCGGUAAUACGGAGGGUGCGAGCGUUAAUCGGAAUUACUGGGCGUAAAGCGCGCGUAGGCGGUCUGAUAAGCCGGUUGUGAAAGCCCCGGGCUCAACCUGGGAACGGCAUCCGGAACUGUCAGGCUAGAGUGCAGGAGAGGAAGGUAGAAUUCCCGGUGUAGCGGUGAAAUGCGUAGAGAUCGGGAGGAAUACCAGUGGCGAAUGCGGCCUUCUGGACUGACACUGACGCUGAGGUGCGAAAGCGUGGGUAGCAAACAGGAUUAGAUACCCGGGUAGUC
rnacentral:rRNA from 1 species